AUGGUAGUGGUCAGCGGCAGCACAGAUGCAAGGAGGGAGGCGGCCAUGGCGCACAGGGGCAUCGUGGGGAUGGCGCUGGUCCUCUCCGCCAGCGAAUCAAGAAUGACGGCCGAGCGGGCGACCUUCCAGCAGCAGAGGGGCGUCCUGACGGCUUGGUGGCAUGUUGAACGGGCGAGGAUGAACAGGGGCGCGUGGCUCGGCGACGAUGGCGCUCCUGCGGCCAUUCAUGGCAGCGGUGGAUCGAGAAGACGGACGGCGGCGGGGCGCGAGACACUUGAGGGCGCGGGGCGCGACGGAGCUUGA
rnacentral:rRNA from 1 species